CGCCUGUGUGCUGCCGGCGUUUGUGCGCGCCUGCUUGUAUGUAUGUGUUCGCGGGCGCGCGCGUGUGUACGUGUGUGUGCGCGCGUACGCGUGUAUGUUCGUGCGCGCUUGCGGGGACGUGCUUGUGGAGGGCGGAGAGAGGGAUGGGCGUGGCUAAUAUGAAAGCUGCACCUUUACUAGUUAGCUACCAUGCGUCAUUAUUUAUCAGAAGAUAUAUGCUGCUUAAACACAAAUACGUUUUAAAAUAUAUUUUAGGCAGUAGGGUUUUGGGGGGUUUUUUUGCAAGUUCUUUUAGUGAGUAAAUUUAGUGAUAAAUGAUUUUUUUUUCUUUUGAGACAGUUUGCUCUGUCGCCCAGGAUGGAGUGCAGUGCAGUGGCGCGAUCCUGCAACCUCCGCCUCUCAAGUUCAAGCGAUUCUUCUGCCUCAGCCUCCCGAGUAGCUGGGAUUACAGACGCGCGCCACCCCACCCAGAUGAUCUUUUUAAAUGCAAAAUGCCAUCGACGCAGAAAAUCAAAGAAUCAGCUUAAGUUCCAGAAAAUAGAAAAACCAACCAAAUGAACAAUAAGACAAACAACAACAACAACAACAACAACAAAAAAGGCCUUUUGGGAUUUUGGAUGAUAUUGCAUCAAAUCCAUACAUUAACCUGAGAGACGAGAGACUUCUUCAACAUUGAGCCUUCCAAUCAUGAUUUUCAAUUCAUUUAGGUCUUCUGUAAUGUUUCUUAAUAUAAUUGUAUUUGUUGCUAUGCAGAAGUUUCACUGAUCUUUUAUUAUAUCUCUCUAUAUAUUUGAUAUUUCUGACACUAUUGUAAAUAGUAUCUUUUUAAUAUUUCAUUUUCCUUUUUUGUUGCUUAAAUAUAUAUAAAAUAAGCUAAUUUUUCCAAACUAAUUUUUAUAUCCAGCAACCCUGCUAAAAUUUCUUAUCCAAUAAAAAUAUAAAUGUA